GGCCGGGUGGGGCCCCGGACUGGGAGAGGGCACAAUAUUCUGCAUUUAACAUUUGAACUUCUCCUAUCCGAGGCAGCAGGCCGUUUUGUCCUGGGGUCGCUGACCCUGGCUCCCCCAUCAGCUGCCCUGAAACCUUAAUUGAAUGACAGAUGGUCAUUUUCGGGGGCGCCAGAAGCUGCGGGCGGCCAGCGGCGCGGGGACUGCGGCCCCAGGCCCCGGCAGUCCUGCCCGGACUCUGCCAGCAAGGGGCGGGCGGCAGAGGUAGCAGGCGGCUUGCGGAGCUGGCCUAGCCUGCGGGCGCGACGGGAUCUGCGGGCGUCGGGCGAACGCGUGGCAACGAGCACCUGGAGGAAACCCCGGCCUGGGAGCUGUUUAUUUAUGGCUGCAAAUGUGUGUGUUCAAGAGAGAGAGGGAAUUGAUCUUUGCCUGGACUUAAAGAUGGAGCCGAAGAAGCUGGAGGGAAUUUGGGCUUGUGCGUCUGGCCCAGACCCUGUGCGCCGAGCCCGAGGUCUAUCCUCCCCGCACCUCUCACCUCGCGACCUUGCAGGAAUCCGCGGGCCCGGAUGCUGCCCAGCUGACCCUCCUGCCCCGGGCCUGGCUGCAGAGAAAGUCUUCGGGCAGGAGGCCAUCCUGUUCCUGUCUUUAAAAUGAGCACAAUAAAAGGGGGCAAAUCCUCGAACGCGAACCUGAUCUCAUGUCACAGAAGCAACUUGCCAUGAAAUCCGCUAAUGCGCUGCGACUCGCCCACCAGGAUAAAUAACCCCAUCGUCCGUGUAAUCAGCACGUUCCCAAUGAAGUCGUUUUCCUAGAAUGCGCUCUCCGCCUGCCACACUUGAGGAAUCCAGCCCACAGAGGUUUCGGAAACCCAGUUUGAGUGAUUCCAGCCUAGACUGAAACCCUGAGAGCCUCCCAGGAAAGAGAGCCCGGCCUGGGCCAAGCAGUCGGACACACACACACACACACACACACACACACACACACACACACACACACACACGGACUGCGUAGCUCUUCGCAGGAUCGAAGGCUGGAUGCGGAUCUGGGAGGCGGUGGCUAAGCGAACCAGGAAGACUGUGACGGAAACCAAUACAGCAGUGUCAUCUUGAAAGUUAUUUGGAAGAACAGGACCUGGAGUCUGGGUUUGAAUCAAAAAAUUGUGAGCAAGGGACAGAUCACCCUGUAUUUCUCUGGAACGAGGCAGAACUGAGACCUGCUCAGCUGAACCAGCGUGGCCACAUAUUGGGGACUAGGAAAUUGUUCUCAGACACUGUAGCACACACAUCCUCUGACAGCGAGCUCACUCCUGCGCAGUGGGCUUCUGGUUCUGCCACUGCACUCCACAAACGCCCUACAGGCCUCCUCCAGGUUUUGCCAGGCAAAUGAAACGAGCACAACUCGAUAGUAAAUUAUUUUGUUCAGCCUUCUCUCUUUUUAUGAAAAUAAGAGGCAACACUUUGUCAUUUUUAAUCACAUAAGCAGACAAUAAAUCUAAUUUUGAUAUUGA
rnacentral:lncRNA from 1 species